AAAUGUCAUGAUAUUUGGCUUGUUCCUUUUUUAAUCCUAAACUAAUUUGUUACUCUAUGAUGCUUAUUUGCCAUUCAACCUGUUUAUAAGCUUCUAAUGGCAGGUUUACUGUAGAUUAAGCCCAGUUUCGCUGCAUGAAAGGUUAUGGAAUCACAUGAAAGAUUAUUUACUGGUUAGCUUUGUAUCCCUGCUAGGUCUGAAAAUGAAAAUAUGCCAUUUCCUCGAAAAAUCUGACAGAUUGCAGCGGGGGUGGUGGUUUGGAUCAGUCAAAUGGAACUUGUUGCAGUAGACAUAAGGUGUUUGCUUUUGCUGGCUGGACACUUGCCAAGGUAUGAUCUGCUACACUCGACACAUGGCUUCCAGAACAGGUUGCAUUUAUUCAAACAAUGGGAAAUGAGAAGUCAAAUAGCUACUGGGAAGCAGAACUGCCUCCAAAUUACGACAGAAAUCUUUUGGUGGGCUCUAGUUAAUGAAUAGCCUGGAUCCAUCAUACGUGCUGCGAAUCACCUUAGCACCCAUCUUCUACGUAACGUCUGUUUGUUUGUGGUCUAAACACCUUCAUGGUCUUAUUGGAUGUCUUUCACUUAGCAAUAUGAGAUUUCUUGUGCAUCAACUAAAGCUUUGUGUUUUCCUGAAUUGUGCAUGGUAAAAUGGGAUUUCACUAACUUGUUAGCAUGCCUGACUUGAGCUGACAAAACAGGUUUCUUCUAAUUCAAAAGCAGAGCUGGUCUCGGUGUAGGCUGA